AGAGUGAACGCUGGCGGUAGGCCUAACACAUGCAAGUCGAACGGCAGCACAGUAGGAGCUUGCUCUUACGGGUGGCGAGUGGCGGACGGGUGAGGAAUACAUCGGAAUCUACCUUUUGGUGGGGGAUAACGUAGGGAAACUUACGCUAAUACCGCAUACGCCCUUCGGGGGAAAGGCCGGGACCAGCAAUGGCCUGGUGCUGAUAGAUGAGCCGAUGUCGGAUUAGCUAGUUGGUGAGGUAAUGGCUCACCAAGGCGACGAUCCGUAGCUGGUCUGAGAGGAUGAUCAGCCACACUAGGAACUGAG
rnacentral:rRNA from 1 species